GAUGAAGAACGUAGUGAAAUGCGAUAAGUAGUGUGAAUUGCAGAAUUCAGUGAAUCAUCGAAUCUUUGAACGCACAUUGCGCCUCCUGGUAUUCCGGGAGGCAUGCCUGUUCGAGCGUCAUCAAAAACCUCAACCCAUGAUUUAUUGUGAGUUGGUUCUGCAUUGGACUCCUUGUGGGUCCUUUGCGAAAUCCAAUGGCGAAGAGCCACGCAACCAAAGCGUAGUAUAACUAUUUCGUUAUGGAAGCGUGGGUGCCUCUGCCGUAACCCCCAAUUUCUUAGUUUUUGACCUCGGAUCAGGUAGGGAUACCCGCUGAACUUAAGCAUAUCAAUAAGCGGAGGA
rnacentral:misc_RNA from 1 species